CGGGGCCGCCAAGCCCACGCCCACCCGGAACUCCAGCUGGCCCGCAGGCGCAGCGCGCAGCCUGGGUUCACGCUCGCGCCUCUCCCUCCACACCUCCCUGCAAGCUGAGGGAGCCAGCUCCGGCCUAGGCCAGCCCAGGAAGGGGCUCUCACAGUGCAGCGGCGGGCUGAAAGGCUCCUCAAGUGCCGCCAAAGUGGGAGCCCAGGCAGAGGAGGCGCCGAGAGCGACUGAGGGCUGCCAGCAUGCUGUCACCUCUCACUAGUUUAGGAAAAUUCUGUUGACCUAUAAUGAAGUUUACAGAUUUUUCCUCAUAUCUGUCCAGUCUACGGAUUAGAUCUUCAAAGAUAAACUUCCUUUGACGCUGACCCUCAACAACAUUCGAUCUACUUAUUCUUAUCAUUGUUUGAGAUGAAAUCCCACUAUUUUGCCCAGGCUCAUCUAUAACUUCUGAGCUCAAGACAUCCUCCUGCUUUGACCUUCCAAAGUGCUGGGAUAGGGGUUUUGUGCAAAUAUCUGCUGAGUGAACUACUUAUUUGAAAAUACAUCAUUGGUUAAUAUUCCCUUUUGCUCAUUGAAAUCUCAAAGACUACAGGUGUGGUGCAAUUCCAUUAGAUGAAAGAGAUCUACACAUUCAGAAGCACAUGAUUCUUCCCCCUUCCAUGAUUCCAGUGGCCAAUAGACAAACUACAAUAAAGCCAUGCCCUGACUGGAUGUGCCUAACAUUUGUCUGGUGCUUAAAGGAGUUGGCUGCAUGCGUGGAAAUGUUGGAAAGUCACCAAAAAUAGUUCUCCAAGUCAGAAGCGGUGCAAAAGCUGCCUCAGCUCUUGGUGGAUUUUCAAUUUCUCCCAGCCAUCUCUGUUUCGCUAAAGGUUUCUGAAGACAGUGGAAUGCUGUUGAAGACACCACCUUGAUAAAACAAAAACAUCAGCCAAAUUAAAUUUAAAGGAGUUUAAUUGAGCAAAGAAUUAUUCAUGAAUCAAGCAGUCUUCCAAGCCAGAGUAGGCUCAAAUACUCCAGCACAGCCACGUGGUGGAAGAUUUAUGGACAAAAGAAGAAAAGUAACAUAUAGAAAAUGGAAAUGAGGGGAAGCUUUUUUCUCCUCCCCAUCCUGAUCACUAGUAUGAGAAGGGGUGCUAAUGGACCAGCCUUGGCCUUGCAGAUGAAGAUGAUGAAGGAAGAAGAUGUAUAAAGAACCUCUGAAAGAGUCCCAGUUUUACAUUUCAAAGUCUUUUUCCUUCUGUUGUUUAUUGUGUUGGGUUGGAGUGGAGGAUAUUUGAUGGAGAAUUGAUUCUGAAACUUGCCAAAAUAUGGAUAAUACUUUGCUCCUUUUCCAUUGUGGGUUAUCACAAAGAAGAGUUUCACUUUUAGUCAUCUAUUUACAGGUACGGCAAUAGCUAUUUUCUUUUUCUUUUUUUUAUUUUAGGUUUUAUUUUAGGUACAUGUGAAGGUUUCUUGUAUAGGUAAACUAGUGUCAUGUGGGAUUGUUGCACAGAUUAUUUUAUCAACCAGGUAUUAAGGAAGCUCAGUACCCAAUAGUUAUAUUUUCUGCUCCUCUCCCUCAUCCCACUCUCCACCCUGAGGUCGACCCCAGUGUCUGUUGUUUCCUUCUUUCUGUUAAUGAGUUCUCAUCAUUUAGCUCCCACUUAUAAGUGAGAACAUGUGCUAUGUGUUUUUCUGUUCCUGUGUUAGUUGGCUAAGGAUAAUGGCCUCCAGCUCCAUUUUUGUUUCCCUCUCCAGCAUCUGUUUUUUUUUUUAAUUUUUAGUAAUAUCCAUUCUGACUGGUAUGAGAUGGUAUCUCAUUGUGGUUCUGACUUGCAUUUCUGUAAUGGUCAAUGAUGUUCAGCUUUUCUUUUCAUGUGCUUGUUGCCCACAUGUAUGUUUUGUUUUGAAAAGUGUUUGUUCGUGUCCUUUAUCCACUUUUCAAUGGGGUUGUUUGCUUUUCUCUCGUAAAUUUGUUUAAUUUCCUUAUAGAUGUUAUGACCUAGCAGCUGUACCUUUUUUAAUUUCAAGACAUUCAAUAAACUAAGAACCAACAGCACAGUUGAUGUGUCUUUCCAUGACACCUGCCAUCUUUCCUCUCUUCAUAGCUAUAAGAAUAUUUUGGAAGAAGAGUUGCUGAUAAAUGCCACUUAGGGAAUCUCUGAGCAUCUGUUAUUAUAAAUGGUUGACUAAAAUUUAGGGUAAAGCAUCCUAUUAAAAAUGAAGUUAAGGACUUUAUGUAGAACUUUAAAAUUUGUCCCCCAAAUCCUGUUGUAUGUCAACAUAUUAUAAAAUAAAUUGUAAAUAUCAUAACUCAGCAAAAGAACAUCAUCUAAAACUCAUUAAGAAUUUAAUGUUGAGUAUAUCAGUGACACAAAAUCAUGAGGCAAGAUGGUUUAAAUAUGUUACAAAUAAUAAUAAAUAAUCAUACCCUCUGAGUUUAAAUUCUUUAUCACCCUGUAUGUACUGCCACUCAACACUUGACUUCAGGGCCAUAAUCCUUAGUGAACCCAUCUAACAUCCACCUAAAAUAAAGGUUUGGAGCCACUCUUCUAUGCUUAACAAAUAGCCUUAAGCAUCAUGAAUAAACAGAGACAGGCUAGCUCCUUUUUGCUCUAUAGCCUUAAGUAGUUCUGACCAUGACUAGAAAGACAUAGCUGCAAGCAGCCUGAUCUUUUUUUAACAUCUUGACUUUUUGCAAGGUAUUUCUAAAAUAUGUUACUAAUAUGUACUUCUUGGUUGUUUUACUAAUAUUUGAAAGAACUAAAGUUAUCAUUAGUCACGUUUCAUUUGAAACUACAGAAGCAAUAAAAACAACAAAGUUCCAAUAUAAAAUCCAUUAUUAAAUAGCUUUCAACAUAAUAGAUUAUUUACUACAAAAUAGCAA
rnacentral:lncRNA from 10 species